ACUUCUUUCACAAUGUAAGUCAUUCUAACAUUUCCCAUAUUCAUAUUAAUAUUAAUGAAUCUAGAUAGAUAUAUAUGUCUAGAUUCAUUAACAUCAAUAUGAAUGUGGGAAAUGCUAGAAUGACUUACAUUGUGAAACGGAGGGAGUACC
rnacentral:misc_RNA from 1 species